CCCGGGAUGUAAUUCUAGAGCUAAUACAUGCGAAAAAACCCAACUUUGCGGAAGGGUUGUAUUUAUUAGAUAAAGAACCAAUGAGCUUGGUGAUUCAUAAUAACUUUACGGAUCGCAUCUCUGAUGCGACAUAUCAUUCAAGUUUCUGACCUAUCAGCUUUAGACGGUAGGGUAUUGGCCUACCGUGGCUAUGACGGGUAACGGGGAAUUAGGGUUCGAUUCCGGAGAGGGAGCCUGAGAAACGGCUACCACAUCUAAGGAAGGCAGCAGGCGCGCAAAUUACCCAAUCCUGACACAGGGAGGUAGUGACAAGAAAUAACAAUACAGGGCCUAACGGUCUUGUAAUUGGAAUGAGUGAAGUAUAAACCCCUUUACGAGUAUCAAUUGGAGGGCAAGUCUGGUGCCAGCAGCCGCGGUAAUUCCAGCUCCAAUAGCGUAUAUUAAAGUUGUUGCAGUUAAAAAGCUCGUAGUUGGAUUUCUGUUGUAUAAUCUAUAAUAUUACUAAGGUAUAUAUUAUAUUAUCAACAUCCUUCCUAUUAUAUUUCUAAAUAUAUAGGAAACUUUACUUUGAGAAAAUUAGAGUGCUUAAAGCAGGCAACUGCCUUGAAUACUCCAGCAUGGAAUAAUAAGUAAGGACUUUUGUCUUUCUUAUUGGUUCUAGGACAAAAGUAAUGGUUAAUAGGGACAGUUGGGGGCAUUCGUAUUUAACAGCCAGAGGUGAAAUUCUUAGAUUUGUUAAAGACGAACUACUGCGAAAGCAUUUGCCAAGGAUGUUUUCAUUAAUCAAGAACGAAAGUUAGGGGAUCGAAGACGAUCAGAUACCGUCGUAGUCUUAACCAUAAACUAUGCCGACUAGAGAUUGGAGUUGUUCCUUACUCCUUCAGCACCUUAUGAGAAAUCAAAGUCUUUGGGUUCUGGGGGAGUAUGGUCGCAAGCUGAAACUUAAAGGAAUUGACGGAAGGCGGCCGCUUAUUUACCUCGAGGAAGUGGUCCU
rnacentral:rRNA from 1 species